rnacentral:rRNA from 1 species
GUGUCAGCAGCCGCGGUAAUACGUAGGUGGCAAGCGUUGUCCGGAUUUAUUGGGCGUAAAGCGCGCGCAGGUGGUUUCUUAAGUCUGAUGUGAAAGCCCACGGCUUAACCGUGGAGGGUCAUUGGAAACUGGGCGUCUUGAGUGCAGAAGAGGAAAGUGGAAUUCCAAGUGUAGCGGUGAAAUGCGUAGAGAUUUGGAGGAACACCAGUGGCGAAGGCGACUUUCUGGACUGCAACUGACGCUGAGGCGCGAAAGCAUGGGGAGCAAACAGGAUUAGAUACCCUGGUAGUCCAUGCCGUAAACGAUGAGUACUAAGUGUUAGAGGGUUUGCGCCCCUUAGUGCUGCAGUUAACACAUUAAGCACUCCGCCUGGGAAGUACGACCGCAAGAUUAAAACUCAAAGGAAUUGGCGG